rnacentral:rRNA from 1 species
GACGGAGGAUGCAAGCGUUAUCCGGAAUGAUUGGGCGUAAAGCGUCCGCAGGUGGCAGUUCAAGUCUGCUGUCAAAGACCGAGGCUUAACUUCGGAAAGGCAGUGGAAACUGAACAGCUAGAGUAUGGUAGGGGCAGAGGGAAUUCCUGGUGUAGCGGUGAAAUGCGUAGAGAUCAGGAAGAACAUCGGUGGCGAAGGCGCUCUGCUGGACCGUAACUGACACUCAGGGACGAAAGCUAGGGGAGCGAAUGGG